rnacentral:rRNA from 1 species
GAUGAACGCUAGCGAUAGGCUUAACACAUGCAAGUCGAGGGGCAGCAUUAUUUUAGCUUGCUAAGAUAGAUGGCGACCGGCGCACGGGUGCGUAACGCGUAUGCAACCUGCCUGUAAUUAGGGAAUAACCCGGUGAAAGUCGGACUAAUACCCUAUAUUCUUCUUUCUCCGCAUGGAGGAGGACGGAAAGAUUUAUUGAUUACAGAUGGGCAUGCGUCCCAUUAGCUAGUUGGUAAGGUAACGGCUUACCAAGGCAACGAUGGGUAGGGGGACUGAGAGGUUGACCCCCCACACUGGUACAGAGACACGGACCAGACUCCUACGGGAGGCAGCAGUGAGGAAUAUUGGUCAAUGGGCGAGAGCCUGAACCAGCCAAGUCGCGUGAAGGACGACGGUUCUAUGGAUUGUAAACUUCUUUUGUAGAGGAAUAACGGCAGCUACGUGUAGCUGAGAUGCAUGUACUCUACGAAUAAGUAUC